CUAUAUAUAUUUGGGUGAAAACAGUCUAAAAUCAUUCGUUUAUUGAAGUUUCUCAGUGGAGUAUCGAAAUUUUUACCGUAAGGAAACUACAGAUUGAGCAAAAAUGAAUUUUCGUCUGGGAUUUUGUCUGAUGCUGGUUCUCUUUGUGACUGCUUUCAGUGAUGUUGAGUGUAGAAAACAAGGUGCUAACCGUAUGAACCAGGAAUUACCACAUUGCCCCGUACAAUGUGUUCCUGAUCAUCUCCCCUGUCCAGAGGUACCAGGCUAUUCAUGUGAGGAAAAUACUAAGUGCUGCUAAUAUAACUGGCUAGUCGCAACUGAAGCAGACGACAGUUAGUAGACUCAAAGCAUAAAAAAGGGAAAAUAAAAGUAGAAUGAAAAAUGGUUAAAUAAAAU